rnacentral:lncRNA from 1 species
UUGGCAUGAGAGAAAAGAUCUCCAUUUGGUUUCCGGGGUAGUAGGGUGCGAAGUGGAUGAAGUUUCAGGGGGGGGGGUGUUAGGCGUUGAGCUGUUGAAGGUUUUAAGAGAUAUGGGUCGUUUGGAGAUGAAGCAGAACAAUGAAGAAGGGGUCCGUCCGUUUUUUUACUGUGAGGCUGAACGCUCAGGUCGUCGUGAAGAAGACGAAGACGAGAGAAUCGGGUCUGUGCAUUGAAGAAGAAGAACAAUCGAGCAGGUCUCUCCUUAUUCUCUCGAUGAAUUCGGCUCUCUUUCUCUCUUCAGUGUAUAUUUGCGCAGGC